GUUAAAGAGCAAGGUCGUCUUCGACUCUUCCAAUUCAUCGGAAUCAAUUUGACUGCAAAUCGCUGUUUCUCUUAUAUUAAUCAUCAUCCACUCCCAUUCAUUCUAUAACAUUCUUCAAUCCCAUCUGAGUUAGAUGCAUCCUUCCACCUCCCUUUGUUUCUUCACAUAUAUAAAUCCUUUUGUAUCAGUUCACUUCGAACCAUAGUCUACAUCCUCCAUACGACAACAUUGAUCGACAGCUAUGAUAUCCGCUCAUGCUUCCGGGAAGUCUCAAGUUGCCCUCAUCGGCUUCAUCUCAUCUAAUCGUGCUCCACGAGACGAGCCUCAACUCAAACCAGGAGCUAAUUACAGCCUUCAGAAUUUCUUAGCAACCACAAUCGACUAGAUGAACUGUUGGAUUGUAAUCCAGAGAUUGCUAAGCUGGUGAAUGAGGAGGAGGUAACUAAGGCUGAGACAAAGGAUCCGCCAAGGUUGAACUUGAGCUGUAGAUAUGCCACUCAAAUCGACAUGCCUAACUACGUAUAUCCCAUAGAUUGGACGCUGGGGUUUCUGUUUCACUUUCCUUCCAGUUCUUAAGUUUUGUUCUGUUAUUGCUAUGUAAGAGGUUCUUUCAUUUCUUAAUUAUUUCGACAUAGCUCAAGUUAGACUAUGGUCUUUUUUAUGCUUUGUCUGAUUUUGUGGUUUUAAUUGUUUUCUCACUGUUAGCUCGCACCCUUUGACCCAACCAAGAAGAAGAAGAUGAAAGUUGUCAUUUUGGAUUCUAUCGAGGACUCAACAGAGUAACAAGCGCAGAAAACUGAUUCACCCCCUCGAGUUUAUGUGCCGUGAAACUUUGGCUGUUUAUUUUCAAUGGUGUACAUACAUUGCUUUGUUUUUAUUUAUUUUCACUGCAGCUUUUGAUGGCCUUCAGAGUUCAUUUGUUGGAUAGAACUCAGUGAGUGUUCUAACUUCUUGCCUCUUCUAAACUCUUUUAUUUUUUUUGAAACUGGUGUUCUGAUGAUUAUGUGUCUCACAUUGUUUUUUUGUCCAAUGGGUGGGUUUAAUCGACCUCACAUUUACAUGGUAUUUUCAAAUUCCUUUCUUUGCUAACUAACUGUUUUUACCGGCAUGCAUUUAAAUACCUAAAUCCGUAUUUUCCAAUGGUCUUAUAGAACAGUCGCCAUGGUGAUCAGUGGCCUUAUUCUACUGUCGAUAAACUACAGAUUCCAACGACAUCAUAUCUUCACAGCCAAAAAAUGGGGAGAUGAACAUGGCGACUGAAGGCCAUCCUGGAAACUGCAGCGAAUCAUACUUGACACUACAAGGUGCUCCAGGUAAACACUAAAGCUUACUAUUGUGUAUUCUUUGUUGUUGUUGUUAUUCUCUCUUUCACACCAACUGAGAGAUACUUGAAACAAGCUAUUGUCAAAAAGAAUCAUGGUGUUUCAAGCUAUCUGCUAUCAUGAUUUUUGCAUGCUUAUUGGUAGCAAAAUCAAUACUUCCCUUAAGAUGGCUGCUAUGAUGGAUGCUUUAGUUACUGUUUGACCUGAAUCAACUUGAAAAGAUUGAAGAUUACUUCUUCUAAAUAUUUUUAAAUAUGAAGCACAAUGGCGCCACUGUCACAUAUAAUACAAAGGCCUUUUACUAUGUUCUAAGACCCAAUUUAUGAUCUUAAAAUUCUUGCGUUUCCAUGUGUUUUGUUUCUCUUUUUACUGCUAUUUUGUUUGUGCUUUUCUUGAAUUUGUAGAAGAAUAGAGUAGGCCAGAGCUGGAAUUCUUGAACAGGAAUAUGAUCUUUGAAAACUUAGCCAGGCUUCGGCUUAUAGCUUCCUGAGGCUGUUGUAUUGUACCCUGUUUCUCAACAGAGGGAAUAGUUCUGGUGGUAAACAUUGUAAGGGUGGGGAGGUUGGAAGAUAAUGCAACAGAAAAAGAACCAAAUUAAGAAAAAGAAUGCUCUGAUUUUAGAAAACCAUACGACACACUAUUAUUCUUAGUUGUAAUGGAGUUAACUUUUAAUAUAUUAAGACAUACUCUACAUCAGGUUUUGGUUGCU